rnacentral:rRNA from 1 species
UGACCGCUGGCGGCGUGCCUAAUACAUGCAAAUCGAGCGAACAGACGAGGAGCUUGCUCCUCUGACGUUAGCGGCGGACGGGUGAGUAACACGUGGAUAACCUACCUAUAAGACUGGGAUAACUUCGGGAAACCGGAGCUAAUACCGGAUAAUAUAUUGAACCGCAUGGUUCAAUAGUGAAAGACGGUUUUGCUGUCACUUAUAGAUGGAUCCGCGCCGCAUUAGCUAGUUGGUAAGGUAACGGCUUACCAAGGCGACGAUGCGUAGCCGACCUGAGAGGGUGAACGGCCACACUGGAACUGAGACACGGUCCAGACUCCUACGGGAGGCAGCAGUAGGGAAUCUUCCGCAAUGGGCGAAAGCCUGACGGAGCAACGCCGCGUGAGUGAUGAAGGUCUUCGGAUCGUAAAACUCUGUUAUUAGGGAAGAACAAAUGUGUAAGUAACUAUGCACGUCUUGACGGUACCUAAUCAGAAAGCCACGGCUAACUACGU